rnacentral:lncRNA from 1 species
AAGCCAUUUUGAGGUUAUUUUUGUGCAAUGGUGUGUUCUAGUUUCAUUAAUUUACAUGCAGUUGUCUGGUUGUGCUGACACACAAUUUGCUGAAGUGACUUCUUCCCCCAUUUUAUAUUCUCACCUCCUUCGUCAAAGAUUAAUUGACUGAAGUUAUCUGGGUUUAUUUCUGGGCUCUCUAUUCUGUUCCGUUGAUAUAUAUGUCUAUUUUUGUACCAAUACCACACUUUUGUUUACUGUAGCUUUGUAAUACUGUCUGAGGUCUGGGAGAGUUAUGCCUUCUGCUUUUUUUGCUCCCCCUCAGGAUUACUUUGGUAAUUAUGGGUCUUUUAUAGUUCAAUAUAAAUUUUUAAAUUAUUUGUUCUGGUUCUGGGAAAAAUUUCCUGGUGAUUUGAUAGGGGUUGCAUUGAAUCUAUAGAUUUCUUUGGUAUGGCCAUUUUAACAACAUUAAUUCAAGCCCAGGAACAUGAGAUAUCUGGAUAUCUUUCCCUUUCUUUGAAUCCUGUUUAAGUUCCUUGAUUAAAGUUUUAUAGUUUUCAGCAUAUAAGUCUUUCAUCUCCUUGGUCAGGUUUAUUCCUAGGUAUUUAUUUUUUAUGAUGUGAUUUUAAAAGGUAUUACUUUUUAAAUAAUCCUUUUCUAAUAUUUCAUUUUUGGUAUACAGAAAUGCAACUAAUUUCUUAAUGUUAAUCUUGUGCAUUUUGCUGAAUUUGUUGAUCAGUUCAAGCAGUUUUUGUAUGAUUUUUUUCCUUUAGAUCACACAGUUAGUGCAUGAUAGUGGUGGAAUUCAGGUAAUAGUUUAUCUAUUUUCUUUACAACCGUCUCUCUCCCCUGCAUUAUGAUAAUACUUUUUACUUAGUAUAAUGCUUUUACAUCUUUAAAACUUAGUGCUUGCAGUGAUGAUAUAAAACUUAAACAUAUGAUUUAUUGAAAGAUAAUGAGAAUUCAGAAAAUACUGAAAGUUCUACUAAAAUAUACUUUGAAAAUGUUACAAUCCUGAAUCAUACAACUACAAAUGAAUACAUUUCAAGAUUUAAUUUAAUUAAGCAGUAAAGCUUUAGUAAAAUGGUAAAGUUAAUCCCAAGAAUAUUUGAGGAAAUGGUUAUUUAUAGAAAUAAAUGUAAAGAAUAUUCAAGAGAGGAAUCAAGAUGGUACAGUAAGGGAAUCCAUGAACACAUCAAAUAUACAUCUAUAUGUGGAACAGUUCUCUUGAAACUUAACUCGAGGCUGGCAGAAAGACUCCUAUACAACCAAGAUUACUAUGAGAAAGAGCCACAUGGAAUCAGGAAGAGAAGAGACGUGAUCAGGUGGGGACCUGACCUGUGCCCCUGGGAGUGGACUCACAGGAAAAUGGAGAUUAAGCUGGCAGGGCCCCCCACCUCCCCACCCCAGGGAUCAAGCAGUUUAAGAUACAUAUUGAGUGCCUCAGCCAUGGAAUUUGACAAAGAGAAGACAAGCCUCCUUUGUGGUUGGAGGGCCAGUGGGACUAACAAGAGGGCUGCAGGAAGCCUGGACUCCACUUUUGAGGCAGGCACAAAUGCUUGUUUACUCCACAAUGCUUACUUUCUCCCAAAGCAGAGCAGAGACAGUGGACUGAAAUUGAAACUGAGACCUCUGUGCAUACCCUCAGCCUGAAUAAAACAAAUGAUCCAUCACCAUUAGCUUCACUUUAUAGCUCUACACUGGAGCAAGGGCUGCCAUGACAAACAAAAAACAUGGCUAAUCAUGAGACACUGAGGCAGCUUAAAACCCAAGUAGCAUCUGAAAAGGGAAAGGAUCAUCAUUACUGGUAAUUACACAGGCAGUGCAUUAGAGGAAAUUGGAUCUCUGAUGACAAUCACACCUGUACAGGCCAUCCACAACCCUUGCUGGAUACCAUCACCAGCCCCUCUUGCUCCAGCAUUGCUCUCCUGUGGGACAAGGGUAGUAAUAGGGGGAAGAACAAGUAUUUAAAGGGAGCUGAGAAAGUUAUGAAAAGAUCCUCAGGGCUUCUUCUGGUUCAGCAACUUGGGACCUGAUCCAACCCUAAUAGGGCAGUGAUAGACAUUGAGAAGGGGGAAAGUGUAGCCUCUGGUCUGAUCCAUUUCACAUGCAAUUCCACUCUCUCCAAGGCAAUAGCUGCCAGCACAUUCUGAGGGAAGACUUAAGUUCAUGUCAAAUCCAGCUCUCUGAUUCACAGCCACUGGGCACACAGAGACUAUACAGAAACACUCACAAAUAAAGAUCCCCCUUCAAGACUGCCAUAGUUAACUUUUACCUGAUUGCAUAGAGAUAGAAAAAUAUAAGGAAAAUGAGAAGACAGGAAUUUGUCCCAACUGAAAGAGCAAGAGAGAACACCUGGGAGAAAAAAAAAAAGUAAAAUGGAAAUAAACAAUUUACCAGAUAAUUCUAAGCAUUGGAAUAAGAAUUCUAACUGGAUAAGGGAAAAGAAUAGAUGAACACAGAACUUUAAUAAGGAAUUUGAAAAUAUAAAAAAAGAACCAGUCAGAACCAAUACAAUACAAAGAAUACAAGAACAAUACAAUACAAAGAAUACAAUAGCUGAAAUAAAAAACACACUAGAAGGAAUUAACAGUGGACUAGGUGAUACAGAAGAAUACAUAAAUUAUCUGGAAGAUAGAAUAAUAGAAAUUAUCCAAUCAGAA